rnacentral:rRNA from 1 species
GACGAACGCUGGCGGCGUGCUUAACACAUGCAAGUCGAACGGAAAGGCCCUGCUUGCAGGGUACUCGAGUGGCGAACGGGUGAGUAACACGUGGGUGAUCUGCCCUGCACUUCGGGAUAAGCCUGGGAAACUGGGUCUAAUACCGGAUAGGAGCCAUUUUUAGUGUGAUGGUUGGAAAGUUUUUUCGGUGUAGGAUGAGCUCGCGGCCUAUCAGCUUGUUGGUGGGGUAAUGGCCUACCAAGGCGGCGACGGGUAGCCGGCCUGAGAGGGUGGACGGCCACAUUGGGACUGAGAUACGGCCCAGACUCCUACGGGAGGCAGCAGUGGGGAAUAUUGCACAGUGGGCGCAAGCCUGAUGCAGCGACGCCGCGUGGGGGAUGACGGCCUUCGGGUUGUAAACUCCUUUCGCUAGGGACGAAGCUUUUUGUGACGGUACCUAGAUAAGAAGCACCGGCUAACUACGUG